UAGGGAAUAUUGGUCAAUGGGUGAGAGCCUGAACCAGCCAUGCCGCGUGCAGGAAGAAGGCCUUCUGGGUUGUAAACUGCUUUUGUCAGGGGAUAAAAUAGGCGUGCGCGCUUAAUUGAAGGUACCUGGCGAAUAAGCCACGGCUAACUACGUGCCAGCAGCCGCGGUAAUACGUAGGUGGCAAGCGUUGUCCGGAUUUAUUGGGUUUAAAGGGUGCGUAGGCGGUCCUAUAAGUCAGUGCUGAAAUAUCCCGGCUUAACCGGGAGGGUGGCAUUGAUACUGCAGGACUUGAGUAGAGUUGAGGUUGGCGGAAUUGACGGUGUAGCGGUGAAAUGCUUAGAUAUCGUCAAGAACACCGAUAGUGAAGACAGCUAACUAAGCUCAAACUGACGCUGAGGCACGAAAGUGUGGGGAUCAAACAGG
rnacentral:rRNA from 1 species